AUGCAAGUCGAACGUGAAGCCACCUUCGGGUGGUGGAAAGUGGCAGACGGGUGAGUAACGCGUGGGAACGUGCCUUUCGGUUCGGAAUAACCCAGGGAAACUUGGGCUAAUACCAGAUACGCCCUUCGGGGGAAAGAUUCAUCGCCGAAAGAUCGGCCCGCGUCGGAUUAGCUAGUUGGUAGGGUAAUGGCCUACCAAGGCGACGAUCCGUAGCUGGUCUGAGAGGAUGACCAGCCACACUGGGACUGAGACACGGCCCAGACUCCUACGGGAGGCAGCAGUGGGGAAUAUUGGACAAUGGGCGAAAGCCUGAUCCAGCCAUGCCGCGUGGGUGAAGAAGGCCUUAGGGUUGUAAACCCCUUUCAGCGGGGAAGAUAAUGACGGUACCCGCAGAAGAAGCCCCGGCUAACUCCGUGCCAGCAGCCGCGGUAAUACGGAGGGGGCUAGCGUUGUUCGGAAUUACUGGGCGUAAAGCGCGCGUAGGCGGACCUGCAAGUCGGGGGUGAAAGCCCGAGGCUCAACCUCGGAACUGCCUUCGAUACUGCGGGUCUCGAGUCCGGGAGAGGUGAGUGGAAUUCCUAGUGUAGAGGUGAAAUUCGUAGAUAUUAGGAAGAACACCAGUGGCGAAGGCGGCUCACUGGCCCGGUACUGACGCUGAGGCGCGA
rnacentral:rRNA from 1 species